AAACUCUUGCCGGUCGAACCAUCGUUCGGUGCUGGAUAAAACCUCACGUACGUCUCAGCAUAUAUAGGAUCGAUCUAUAACUAACUCGUCAAACCAACAACCGAUCAGGCUCAAUCAUCCAAGAGAUACAGAACGCAACGGGACACGCGACACGCGUGGCAUGUGGAAGCAUCUGCGUACGGCGACGCGACGAGUGCAGAAAUCUCAUUUAACCGAAAGGGCGAAGAUCAAAGUAUAUCUGAGAUAAAUUAUAGGGAACUGACUUCUGAUUGCGGCACGUACUACAUCGUGUUAUUCCUUCCGUCCUCACGGUCCGGGCCCUUCAACUAGUAGUCCAGUCGACCACCACCCCUUCGUGGCUCACAAACAAAAGAACCGCUCAGCCAGGCAAGAUCUGGCCCUACACACGAUGGUGAGAGUGCUGGAUCUCGCCGCGGCCACCGAAGCGUUCGGCGCCGGCGCCGGCACCGUCGUGGGUUCAGUCUUCGUCUUCGCGGCGGCGGUUGCGAUCGUGGCCAUGGCGUUGUUCGGCUGCGCCGACGGGAAGCCCAAGCGACGCCGCCGCUGGGCCAGCGGCGGUCCGGGAGGCGGCGCCGGGUGCGGAGGCGGUGCAGGAUGCGGCGGGGGAGGCGGCGGCUGCGGGGGCGGAGGGGGCGGCGGCGGAGGAGGAGGCCCUUAAUCGAAGGACGUGCGUCUCAUUGCAGGAGGGGGCGGCGAUUUCUUGACAUGGAGUUGUGUUAGUGCCAUGUUGUUACUGUGCUCACGGGAUUGAGUGUUGGCUGUACAAAUAUUCGCGCUCGAUGUAUACUUUUGUAUGUAAGAAUUGCUUGUGGAUGCCAUUUUGUUUUGUGCUUGUGGAGCUAGGCGAUUUCUGAUCAUGAACAGCAGAUGAAACACGAACUGUGUUAAAACAGUGUUCCUUUCCUUUGUGUCAUGAAUCAUCGUGAGUUCUGCAGCGACUGCUGGGCCGGGUUCGUGUCGUAGAGCGUCGAAGAAGAAGCACAGCUUGGGCCGAAAAUAUAUGGAGCCCAUGUAGAACGUUCAGGGCCAAAGCACACGCUGGAGUCGGUUAAAACAAACACACACACUGUACUCCGUAGUGUGUUGCGGCCUACCGGAACGAGGAAACACGAAAGAAGAUAAACAUGAGAACGGUCAGCUGCUAUCCCUCGCAGACCUCGUGGUACAAUACAACGCAACGAAGUAAGGAUGUUUGCUCCAUGGCUUGCAUAAGCCAAAGCACGCCGAGAAUGAUUGCAUCUAUUCCCUUUGUCUUAAUAAGUGAUUCAAAUUUAUGAAUGUAUCUAUAUUAAAGAGCCUUUUUCCGGUACCCUUAUACUGCUUGAGGAGAGGAAGCAGUAUAUAAUAUCCACCCUUGGUUUCUAAAGGGUGGAAUAGACAUUUAUUUUUUGAGAUAAUCCUUAAUUAGGAGUAAAAUGUCCGUAGUGGGCUUCAGAUACGGCCUAUUCUUUGUGUUCGCCUGUGUGCUCUUGCCGGCGGUGCCGGUCGACCUCCCUAGCUAGGCUUUCAUGGUCGUGGCCCUCUAGAUCCUGCCAUCAUCGUCCUCACCUGCAAGCCCCGCCUCGACCUUGCCGGCAAUCACCAUCGGCCUGACUGGCCGAGCCCUUGUCGACCUUGCCGGCAAGCCCAGCGGGCGCCGGCCGUCUCAGGCUCUCAGCUCCCUGACCACAGCAUGCAAGUGAACAUCGAAGCAGUGGGGAUAUCCGUCAUAUAACUCCGAAUUAAAGUUCACAAGGAUGGAUGAUUUUCUCUUUGCGAAGCGAACCUAGCUAGGUGUCUAGGUGUGCAUAGUCCGUAGAUCGUCAGGCACAUCACCAUCUUCUGACUAAUCAUGAAUGCUCUGUCUAGGAUAUGGAUUUAGCACUUUGCAUCGAUCAUGAGAAUUCACUUAUAUUUGAACUAGAGGCAUGUUGAAGCAAGAACAGUUCGGAAUCCCCACAAAGGAGCCUGAGACGGCCGGCGCCGCUGAGCUUGUUGGCGACGUCUCCAGUCUCGACAAGGGCUAGGGCAGUCGGGCUGAUGGUGCUUGCCGGCAAGUCCGACGGGGGCUGGGGCUGGCGAGGCUUGCAGAGUUGCAGGUCAGAUCGAUGAUGGCAGGAUCUAGAGAGGGCCAUGACCACGAGUGCCUUGCUAGCGAGGUCGACCGGCACCGUCGGCAAGAGCAAACAGGCGAACACCGGAUGGGCCGUAUCUGAAGCCCACUACUACGGAUGUUUUACUGCUGAUUAAGAAUUAUCCCCCCUAAAAAAAAAUUGUCUUAAAAAAGAAAUGUCUAUUCUACCCUUUAAAAACCAACGGUGGAUACUGUAUAUUGCUUCCUCUCCUCUAGCAGUAUGAGGGUGCCAUAAAAAAGCUCAUAUUAAAAGACAUCUAGAUACAUGUAAUAUUUCGACACUUAAUAUAGCUCAUAUUAAAAGACAUCUAGAUACAUGUAAUAUUUCGACACUUAAUAUAGCUCAUAUUAAAAGACAUCUAGAUACAUGUAAUAUUUCAACACUUAAUAUGGGGCGGAGUGAGUAUGUUCAGAAAAACUGAAAGAGAGAAUGAUUGUGUCUACGGGACAGCUUGAGUCAUCAGAGUAACCUGGUACUGUAACAGUCUCAUUUGCUUUUAACUGUGUUGAAAAAAAAUGCUUUAUUCGUUUUGACUGUAAGCAUGAAGAAGCAAAUCCAACAUUUGUUUAUGUGACCGAAAUAUUGAAAUUAUAUUCACGGCUGCACUUCUGAACUGUAGCUAUUGCUAGCAAGGCAAGAAAUUCAGAGGUUUCACUUCGUACGGUGAUAGCAGUAUAGUUAUAUGGAUAACUAGCAUAUAUAUGUGUUCUCCAAAGGAAAUACUUAAUCAGCAAAAACAUUGGAAUUUAUAUAUCCUCUCUGACUCUGGAGCAUAGCUAUCCAGUAGCACAGGGGGCCACUAAUUUAAAGCGAUCGAACAAGGAAAAGCAGAAGAGGGGCAAGAAAAGGAAAAGAGGCAAAAGCUACAAAGAUGUUCCUGCAUUCCUGCUUCCAUUUUACAGGGCUGGCUGCCUAGCUAAACUAUGAUGGCACUUGCGGAAUCAUGUCAGCAGAAAGACAAAGCUGAAAAGAAGCUAGCUGAGGCAAGCAACAAAGCCCAGCGAUGACAAAAGCAUAAACCAAAGCUACAAAAGGGAAAAGGUUCAGAAAACGAAUUCUGCUACUACUACCUAGCCUGCUGCUUUGCUGCAUCGAUCAUUUUGUUAGCAGUCUUCUUCUACCCUGUCUCUGGCCUGUCAGUGUCGUGCAUGCUGCUUCCUAUGUUUGCAUCAUGCCAUACCCCCUUUUAUGUCUUUGCUGUGUGUGCGACUUCUGAAACUAUUGUCAGUUUUGAUCUCAUCACUUCAGGAUCAGGCCCAGGGCCAGGCCACCUUCUCCUUUGCAUGCACCGCCCGAAUCAUUCCAUUCCAAAGAUCGGUGUCUGAAAGGCUGCCAUAUUUGGGGAGUAGUAUCCAAAGGGGCUGGGCGUCACGGAGCUUUCAUAGGUCCCGCCACUGAAUGCCAUGGGCGUCGCGAACGGCACCGAAGACGGGCAGCCGUUGGAGUUUUGCUCCUGGUCCUGCUGCUGCUGCUGCUGCUGAUGAUGAUCUUGCUCUUGCUGCUGCUGAUGAUGUAAGCUGCCUCCGCCAUUGCCGUAGCAUUGUGCCGCUGUCAUUGUGGCGGCAUUGUGGGCGUUGGCGAAGUCCAGGUUGACGCCGGAGCUGUAGAGGCCGUAGCCCAGCCCCUGCAGGUUCCCCUGCUGGUGGUGCUGCAUGGCCAGGAACGACAGGUAAUCGUUUUCAUGCUGGUUGUACUUCAUCGGGAGCGCCGUGAACGCCAGCGAGUGCGGCGCGAUGCUCGGGGCAUCGACGUCGGAGAUCACCGGAGUGGGCUCUAAAGCACAUUUGCUGCCCCGGUUGGCGCCCGAGGCGGUGCCGAUCGGGAGGUUGCUGCUGCUGAUGCUCUCGACGUUGUACCGGCCGAUCUCAAAGUUUGUCACGGCGUUCAGGCCGCGGAACUUGAUGGCCGCGAUGUCGUAGGCUUCCGCGGCUUCCUCCUCAGUACCUAUGUCAAUGCAACAUUUUUAAAUUUUUGCACUAAGGUCCACAUACUAAGUUUCUCAUGUCAGUAUAAAAUAGUGGUAGCAAGAUCAGUGCAACACAUCGAACAUAUGGUUCAUGGACAUAAAUAUUCAGACCACGUAUGCACGAGAAUAUGCCAUGAGCUUUCAGUUCUAGCUAGACAGCAAUGCAGGCUACAUCAUUAAGGCUUUGGACUAAUUGGCUUGCUACUGACAGACCCACGGGUGUGGUGAGCUUAGUCAAAAGUAAUAAUGGCCGUUUCAGCAUGCAAGGCGCUCCUAAUAUAAUCACAUGUCAGAUGCUUUGUGGAAAGCUGGUCGCCAACAGUAACUAUAUUCCAAAGACCAAAUACAGGUUGCUGCUACAUGCAGUGCACGAAGAAAGAAAGUGUUCGGGUUGCCAUCGAUCUAUACAUAACAAGGCAAGCAAGCAUGCAUGGUCGUGGCUUCUUCUUUUUCCUCCUCUGGGUAAAAGCCCCCAAACCAUCAUAAAAGACGACAAAUUCGAAUCAAAUGUGGGCAUGCCAAGGAUGCAUCUGGUCAAACCUGAUGAUUUUGACCUAGAUAGAAUAUGUCGACGAAUCUAGCGGCAACACUAGUACGUUCAGUAAAUAAAUUAAGAUUGAACCUACAUGCAAGGCACAGUAUUAUAAUGUGAUGGUUAACGAAAAGAUGCGACGAAUGCUUGCUUGGAGGAGAGGGCCAACACGUGUUCACUCUUACUCCUUGGAAUGCUUUCGGAAUACUACCUAACAAGUUUAACAAAAGAUUGUACCACCCUUCACUCCUUAAUCUAUCCAUAAUAUAUCCACAUCGUCCCACUAUGUCUGUUUUCCUUUUGGAAACAAAAGAGAUAAUGUAGCUGGUAAAGACAUCAGAUCAUGCCUUAAAUUUUAUAGAUAUCCUGGUUAAAUAUCCAAUGAUUGUAACACACUGGCAGUACUGGAUAAUAGGUGACAUGUAUAUAUGCAUUCUUUCUUUUUAGAGGUGAGGGAACCAUGUUUGCGCAUCCAGGUACAAAUAAUAUGAAAUUCAUAUGGCGUAUACUCACUGAAUGUUCCGAGGUAGAGGUCCUUGUUACCAGCCACCCUCCCGAUCCUUGCUUGCCAUCGACCAUGCUGGUGAUGUCUACAUGAUUGCAUUGCAUGCAAAACGAACACUUUUAGCAAACACCAUGCAAGAGGCCACACAUGAUAUUUAAUCCACGAGUGAAAUAAAAAUAUGAACCUUGUGACACCCCUGUAGAUAGAAGCACCCCGGGAGAAUCCACUACUCUUUCUGCACAACAAUACAGGUUUUUCUCUCAUUAAAUCCACUUGAAAGACAAAGCUAAAUGCUGAAACAUGCAUGCAUGUGAGCGUGCACACAAAUUAAGCUAGUGCAAAAUUGGAAGCAUGAUCAUGAUUAGCCUAGUUCCUAUAUGUACCUCCGAAGGGAAGCUACAAACUCCUGGCGCGUCAUGUGCUUCAUCUCCUCAAGCUCAUUUUCAUAGUCAGCAACCUGAAAAAGAACACUUGCCCAAUAAAGAUGUGCCCACGGAAGCAUACGCAUGGAUAUGCAAUGCAUUUACUAUGCCUUUUCUUUUGCAGCUGCCAAGAUCGAGUUCUUUCAAUCGGUCAUGCAAGUAUAUGUAUUGUUGUCACUCCGUGAUCUUACCGGGAAGUUGGUGGUAGUGCUAGCACCCCAGUACUUCAAAGCGGCAAGAUCAUACGCCCUCGCUGCCUUCUCCUCCUUGUCAUAGCCACCUGUUCAACAACAGUAGAGUCAGUACUAGAAUCAUCCACCACAUCCUAGUUGCUCUCACAAUCAAUCUGAAGAAGAACUACAAGCCUUCUUACCGAGAUACACUGAAGAAGACACCAGAAGCAGCAGCCAUCGAUGAGAAAACACAUCAUCGAGAAGUAAAAAAGUUAGGCACAGCCAAGGACGGAACCGGUUAUGAUCAGCCAAGUAAAGAAGUUGUGUGCUGACCUUGGCGGCCCUUGCGGCUCUGGCCUUCACGCCGGCAGCUGUUGUCCCACAGAUGCGCUUCGUACCGACCCGUCCAACGAUGCCUAAAAGAUUCGCCAAAAUGGGCAGCACAAUCAGAUUCAGCCACAACUUGAUCGAGCUAUAUAGGAAGAAAAAUCUUCAACAACUUUACUAUUUCAGUCCGUUCUGUUCUUCCACAUGCAUGGUGGACUAAGUUGUGGACGAUGGAUCGAUCUACGCACCCAAAAAAACAACCAGCAGAGCAGCUACCUAAGGCAGUUCUAAACUAACAUCUUCCAGUAGUUUGCAUGCAACAAGUACUAGUAUAUAUACUGCUCAAGAUCAAGAAGCCAAGCAGGGCAUGCACAUAGCACUUGUAGUUUUCUUGUGCAAUAGACGGAUCAAUCAAUCAAUUAAUCGAUCGAUCACCCUUUAGCUUGCUUACCGAGUGACGCCACGGUAGAUGGAGGUCCUCUGCCCGAACGAGUCCACGGCCUUCUUCGUCUCCGGCGCCGGCGCCGCCACGAGCGGCAGAGCCAGCUUCGCCUCGGCCGCCUGCUCCUCCAGAGCCACGACCGGCGGCGGCGCGGCGGGCGACGUCCCAGUGCCGCCGCUUCCAAGAAACCCACCGGCGGCCAGGAACUUGAGCUCUGACUCGUACAUCUCCGCCGCCGCUCCUGCAGGCACAACCGGCCCGCCACCGCCGCCAUUACCGUUCCCCCCGCCGCCGCCGAGGAAGUCCUCGAGCUUGGGCGGCGGCGCGGCCCCGGCGAUGGCGGCCAGCUCCGCCGCCGCCCCGCGUUCCUCCUCCUCCAUGCCACCUGCACAUGCGCCCAUAGACUGAUUAAUGAGAAAGAAGAAGAAGAAGAAGAAGAAGAAGAAGAAGAGAGAGAUGGAUCGAGGCCAUAGAGGAGUAGUAGUAGCAACUAACAGUGGUGGGCGAGGGAGAAGUUGAGCCAUGGGUAAUGGUGAUGCUGCUGCUGCGCGGCGUCCAUGUCCAUGGCCGUAGUCAGAAACUCAGAAGUCCUCCUCGAAGCGAGCGUGCGUGAGUGUGUGUUUCGUUUCUCGAGAGCUGAAGCGAGAGGCGAUUGGCGUCCUCGGGAGGUGAAUGAAGAACCAAGAAUGGGCGGUGCAGUCCAAGGCGUUAAAAUAGAGAAGCAAGGAGACGGAGCACGGCUCGCGAGGGGGCCAGGGCCGCGGUAUAUUUCUAUGUGGGUUUCGACAGAGGUGAGAACGAACGAGAGAUGCUCUUUUACUCCGGCCUCCGUGGCUUUUUUGGCCGAAGAGUCGGGGCACUGUAGCAGCAGCUAGCGGUGGUAGGAGUUGAAGGACGAGUAUUCUUCUACGGCGAUGAGAUGAGAUGAGAUGGUGUGUUUUACAGGUGGAGGCAAAUGGUACGGGCGGCCGGGGGGGCGGGAUAUCCUUGACCGCCUUGGAAGCAAAGGCGGCCAUGCAUGCAGCAGAUGGAUAAGUUCGGCCGGCCUUAUUCUCGUACAAUUGAUUUUACCUGGCCGUUCGAUGUGGCCUCUGGCUUCUUCUACGCCGCUCGAUCAUCUUUUGUGGUGCCACGGCACCGGGCGUAUAUAUACAGGAGUAUGUCGGGGCUGAAGCUACAGGGGAUCGGUCGUGAAGUGGGCCAAAAGGCAAAGGCAAGUGCAUGCGGCAUGGUCCUUACUCGAAAGGGACACCGAAAUUCAGGACUCUGCUGUGCUGACGACCGUGUCGUCGGAACAUUCAGACUAGCUAGCUACUACUCGUAAGACAGUAGUGCUUGGCGAGUUGGCGUGGCAUUGACCCGUGAUAGUAUACACGCAUGAUUAGCAGUGGAACCAACCCGUAAAACAUGAUGUUGUGGGAGAGAGCGGGAUCGGGGCCUCCGGGGCUUUAUGCCUCGCAUGGAGGAACCGAAGGAAGCAUCGCCGGCCGUUGUUGCCUUGUUGGGGCCCGUCGUCCGGGGACACACAUCCCUUGAUGAGCAGUCCGCGGGAAAUGCUGGAUGGAUGGAUGGAUGGCCGGCCAGUGAUUUCGUCGCUCGCUCGCCAUGCGGUGCAUGCACGUGUGAGCGAUAAGUCGCAUGUUUUUUUUACUUACAGAUCAAUCGACAUGUAUUUGAUAUUCAUUUCUUAAAAAAGAAGACGACCUCCCUUAUGAAUAUCCACAUCCAAGCUUAAUUUCAUUUCGCCAGGUGUCCGGGGGGAACAAUGUUCGGCUAACUCGGUCAGUUUGGUUGCCGGAGUUCAGUAAAAACUUCGCCAGUUAAUUUGGCGUACCGUUGUGGCGUUGUCAAGGUUUCGGUUCCAUGGGGUGAUAAUAAUUAAAACCUAAUCUCAGCCGUGUUACAAAAACCAAUUAAGCUUUUCAAUCGUGUGAUAAAUUUUGCCGAGACUCGGAAGAUCGACUACACGCAAAGGCAUCGCCCUGGAUCCUUCCUUCAGGGCGGCACGUGCCGCACGGGCGCCGUUGGCGACCAUUUAGGCUGGCUGGCCGGGCAGCGCGCGCCGCGGGGCGAAGUCGGCAUGGAUGCACGUGAGGGACGCGUGCGCCGUACCUUUGUCUUCCCGGCGCUUAUAAUUACCGCGAUGCUCUCUGACGUCCCCGGUGCAUGCACGUGCGGCGUGAGUGUCCGUUCGUUCGUAGAGAAUCCAUGUAUGCUGUCCGGAAGGGGGCUAGGAAAUGGAAUCUGGUCAAAGACUCUGAACCGGAGUGGGUAGAGACUAGAGAGGUGGCGAGGAGAAGAGAAGAAGAAGGGGGUGGGCGUCACGUGGACACGGCCAUUUUUUAAGAGCCAGCCAACGUCGACGGGAAUUCGAAGAAAUGUAUGGCAAUUCGCUUGGCGUACGACCGAGUUUUUCACACUAGGCGAAUCGCGCCUGCUCAAGAUCAUGCUAGCCGUGGACGGAGUUUGAUCGAGAGGAAAAAAAUUCACUUGAAUCUAUAUGGUCACAUACGUGAUACGUUGAAAAUUGACUACUAACUCUUCUUUUUUCCGGCUAGACUACUAAGGGCCUCUUUGGAUCUUCAAAUCCUAAGGAAUAAUUCCUAUAGAUACCAUUUGGAUCAUAGGAUUUGCACCGAAUGAAUUUCAUGGGAUAGGAAAUUUUCCUCCAAAUUUUGGAGGAAUCCAAGCAUGAGGUCUAACCUCUUUAAGGGCCUCUUUGAUUCACGGGAUAGGAAAAACGCAGGAAUAGGAAAAUCACAUGAUUGAAAUGUCAUGCCCAUUCGUAUAUAUCCUAUAGGGUUUGUGUUAGACCAAUGUUUGUUUGAUUGAACACAGGAAAAACAAAGGAAUUUGAAAAAGAGGUUGGAGUGGAUGAAAUAUGGAAUUUAGUGCAAUGGAAUCCUUUGAAAAAGAGAUUGGAGUGAAUUUUUUUGUGCAUGGCAUUCCAAUCCUAUAUUUUUCCUAUUUCUAUGUUUUUGCAAUCGUACGAUCCAAAGAGGCCCUAACUGUUUUUUUUGGGGUAGACUACUAACUGUUGUCGUUCACUUUUGUCAGCAUUUUUUGGAUCAGGUUAGCAUUAAGUCAAACAACCCGCUCCGAUACAACACCAUUUUUAUCGUAUCAUAAAGUUUAUAAGUAAAUUCGGUGUACGGAAUUGAGAAAAAAACGAAAAUUCACUCACUGCAAGGCACUUGAAAAGAAAUAACAUAAAUCCAAACGCUAUAGCUGCCUGGUGAAAGAGAUAAACGAGCUUCCCUAAAAAAACAGAUAAACGAGCCGGCCUCUUCCGUGAAACAGGAUAAUUAAACGAGCCGGCCUCUUCCGUUGUGCUCCGAAUGAACACCUGUAACUUGCAUCGCGGUGGAAGAGAGCCCCGGCAUGCGAAGGCGGUGGUGACCAUAGCCAUGCAUGGACACCACCAACCCCAAUUAGUAGGUGUCCUACGGAUAACAACGGAUCCUCUGUUCCGGGAGGGGGCACGUCACAGGAAGACACCGGAUGACUCACGGUCCAGAUAGGGACGAGAAAGGCUAGCAGAACAUGCCCCCCCACCGAUUAUUAGUUAGCUGCUAGAUCAUGCGAAGCUGUUGUUGGUUAAUCAAUCAUCAGUACUACUUACGUGCGUGAGUGAUUCCGAAGGGAUUCCAUAUAAAUCUAUCGGUGGAUAUGCAUUGCCUGCCGCGCAGCACACGUAGCUGCUGGCUUCGCGCGCUUUGCGUCCCGUACGUACUAACCAAGCUUAAACUAAGCAGAAUGCAUGGGCUAGCUGGCUAGCUGCCUCGAGCGAUAUAAUCAGACCGGUGAGCCGAAAAAGGCUCGACGCUCUGCACGUGCCUCGCACUACCGGUGUACUAGUGCUAGCUUCUUCUAGCUGAACCGCCUAGCUGUUGUUAACAUGUUCGUGGUUCAGGUGUGCAGGGGUUGUACCGUAGUAGGUGUCUGCACUCGACAGAACCCACACUGCGUAUGCAUGCAGAUUCCUCCAGAAAAAUCUCGUAGAACUCAAGAGCAUGUCCGUUCAACACACGCUUCUCCGUCAGACAAAAUGAACGUGGCGAGUGAGUAUGUGACUUAGCGUGUGUUUGGUUUGAGCCCCAAUCAGCCCCAUCAAUUUUUUGGCAAAUUUUGGCAUGACCAAAUUUUUGGCAAGUGGAAGUUGUUUGGAUUACAACCAUUGUAAUGGGCCAAUUUUUUGGCAAACUUAAUGUUCCCAUAUUUGGUUUGCAGCCAACGUAACACAAACCUUUGAAUGAUGCUACAAUUUUCCUUUCGAAAACUUUAAUUAGCAUGAACUACUUCUAUUUUCUGGAGGUAAAUCUAGAAGUAAAUGAUACAGUAGAUUAUAGAAGUGGAUUGAGACAGAUCAAAGCACCGAAUCACUUGAAAGGAGAUAACGUGGAGAUACUUCUGAUAUGAUUCGAUGCAUGCAUAGGAGGCCUGCCGAUUGCAGCGAUCGGUGUGCAUAGCCCGACGAAAAGGAAGGAAAAAAGAUAAGAAUAGAAGAUAUAGGAACUGCAUUCUUCCGUAUUCGUAAUUCAUCCAGCGAGAAAGACGUUACCAAAUCUUUGGCGAAGCUUUUCCCCGCCGGCAACUCGCCAAUGCUUCGCGUGGAAAAUCGCAGGCGUGGCCCCGGUGUGCUGGGCGAGCCAAAAUUUUGGAGUCCAUCCAAACAACAGCCAAAUGUCACCAGCAAGCCAAUCUUUUGGUAAGGUCAGUUUUGGUCAUAAACCAAACACACCCUUAUUAUCUGAAGUCUGAACGCUGAAGCUCUUGGUUUGGGUCAUGCAAGAUGCAGCGGCCUGACCUCCGAGGCGAACAUACACAUUGAGAUUCUCGCUUAGUUUCUUUUUUUUACAAAAAGAUACAACGAUCCAUUCAUUGUCAAAGAGGGUCGCGCGAUGCGGCCCGGGAACAAAAGUUUAGGAAAGUACAAAACUCAUGAGAAAGAGGGGGGUUGCAUACACUACGAAUGUAUACUGUUUGAGCGCCCAAGACAGUAUAUGCGUCUGAGAGACAAAAUGAAAAAACAUGAACUAGAUAGACCUCUGCGUGAUCCGUUCUCCACGGCGUUCUUGCCGGAGACCCGACGCUUUGCAGUCAGAAUUUAGCGCCCGGAUGUGUUGAGGAAUGUGAAUAAGGAAUGGAGAUGGGGUAGGAGGUAGCAUGUGUGGGUGCUGUGCGGAUCGAUCCGUCCUGACGUCGCACAUCCGAUCUUCCGCGCGCCUGGACAUUGUUCGCCAAGCUGCGGCGACAACUCCUGGAUCUCGACGAGUGCACGCGAAUACGAUACCUUCGCUGCUGGGUACUCCAGCAAACCUACAAGCCUCACACAAAAACUAAACAGCGAACCAUCUCCCAGUAGUACAUAGCUGAAACUAAAACCUGACUAGAACAAAUUCUAGAAAGAUGAUUGCUAUGGGCUGGCGGUCAAAGAAAUUCUUAAUUCGGCGACAUCAAUGGUCACGGUCCUUCAUGAAAGUUUGGAACACUACGGAUGAUAUACGUCUUGGUCAAAUUGAGCGGCGGCGGCGAAUGGCAGCGACGACCGAGCCUGAGCGUCGCCGGACGGCGGGACAACAGCUGUAGAACGGAAGUGGAGGAAACCAAGGACGCCGGCCGGGCGGCGCAUGCAGUGACAGAGCGCCGAAACCGGGAGGACGGCGGCUGAGUGGCAGUGGCGGAAAAGCCGCUCCGAUGUGAACUGAAACAGCGGCAUAUUAGCCACGAUCUACAGAACGAAGGAGCAAUAAGCCACAAUUUGUGGACGAAAAUGUCAAUAUUACCUCCUAAUUCAACGGCCAGAUUUGAUUAUACUCUUCCCUCCCCCUAGACAGUAUCAAGGUCCCGUAAAAACGGCACGGCGACGCGCGCCGACAGUCAAAUUAAGACGGUAGCGGUUCUGCACUUCUGCUGACAGUUGACAAUGGCGUACGUGGCGAUAAGUGUGCAUCACGUUUCCUACACGUGGAGAUGGAUGACGAGCAUGCACAUUACCUGAAGGUCUCAGCUGAGCUCAUGUGCCUGCAGAAGAGGAAAAAAGGAGGCGACAAUGUGACUAUGAGUAUAGCUGGAGGGGCCGCACAUGCACGCGAUGACUUGGUACAUUUUGGGGGUAGAUGACUUAGAGAUCGAGCAGAGACCUAUAGCUAGGGGACAAGUACAUACAAGUGUAUCGCCUGGCUGUUCGUUUAUGGAGUUGUCUAUGCACGGAAGCUGGUAGAAAGGCUACGUGACGGUAGCCCUUGUAUGUAAUCCCUCAAUCUCAUAUUCAGUAACUCAAAUUUGCCUAAAUAUGAAUGUGUCUAUGAUUAAAAAAUGUCUAGUACAUAUAAUAGAAUGUCAUUUGAUAUGAAACGGUGUGAGUACAUACUUGCGGGCGAUGGAAAGACAGGGUUUACAAGCAAGCACUACUAGCACUAACCUGUGAGCAGAAAAAACGGGAGAAAAGGCAACCACCUCUCUCAUCUCCUCCGGAUGGCCACCGGCGGAGCCAGACUAAUGCCUGGUAUGCAAUGCAUACCCAGAUUUCUUGGCUGAAACUUUAUUACUACUAGUACUCUUAUCACUGCUUAGUAUACAUGUGUAUGACAGUGGUGUAUUAGUAUAAUGCUAGCUGCCUUUUGAAUUCCAACCGCAUGGCUCACCAACAUCUUGUCUCGUGUCAGCAUGGCUUGCUUUUAGGACACUGCCUUGCAGAUAGGAUUAAUUAAGUUUCAUUAUCGGUGAGAUCUUGAUCAUGAUUUUUCAUAUUCAUGUGUCUAUCCAUUCGAUGGUUUACCUGCGUGUAGUGUGUCGGUCUAAAUAUGAAUGUAACUGAUGAAUUGAGCCGAAAUCUAAUACGACUAAAAUUGUCAGUCUAUCAUAUAUACGCCUGCCGCCGUCUCCUCGCCUCCCUUGGUACACGUACUCUCUCGUCGACUAGUUUUUGGUCAGAGAAAAAAAAAGCAUUGCAUAGUUUUUGGUCAGAGAAAAAAAAAGCACUGCAUACCCACCUUUGAAAUCCUGGCUAGGCCCCUGCGGAUGGCAAUGGCGCCACCACGACGUGUCUCCCGUCGUCAAUGUACAAAUAUAUUGUCUGUUUGACAUGGAGUUCAGGAUGUUAUUAUACUUGUUUGUUUGACAUGGAGGCCCGUCGGUAUGUGUACUCAAUAUCAAAUCAAAGGCUUCAUGUUUGGAGUACAAUUUUAUAAAGCCAACUAGUAAUGGCAUCUCUGGCGCGCUUAGACUUCGCGUUAGUUUUGUGGAUUCGAUGCACACGCACGCACGUACAGUCGUACACACGCGCUCACUGGCCUGCAGCCUCGUCGUCAGUAGCGUCACAAUGGUGCUGUCGGCACGGGCUAGCUGCGACUGCGAGCGGUCGUCCGGUUUAGUUUUCUCAGCACGUGGGAGGAGGGCAGGUGUACAGCGAGCGUGCCUGGCCAAAGUUUGUAGUUCGUGCAGUCUGGCCGGCGUCAGAAACGGCCAAGAUCGAUGUCUGAACCCUGAAGAAGGGACAUGGAACUUGCGCGGGAGGAGCAAAAACUCAGACUGGCAUCGGCGGUGCGGAUUUCAGCUCCUCGCCGCUUGCGAGAACGGUCCAGAGCAAGCGCCAGGGACUUGUUAUCCUCGAAUACAUAUUUGUUUUUUCUGAGAUCACCCUGACGAUAUCUGUGUCAAAGUUUAAAAAAAAGCCAAUACUUCCCCUGAACAUGAACCACUAAUCAUCUUCAGCUCCAUGGUCCAAAAAACAACCCGGUUCUUGCGUUGAUAAGAAAAAAGAAGCGGUAAACGCAUAUAUGCAGCAUUAAGAAGCAAUUUUCGACUUGCACAUUACCUUAAGCAAGCCAUAUUGUCGGUACAGCAAGAUAAAAAAUGACUAGGAAUUGCUCCUUGAGCUACCCCACACCAUCAUAUAAUAGACAAGCACUUGUUUUAUAAACCAGAUGCAAAAUUUGUUUUGGCAGUAUUUAAAGUAUACAUGAUAUCCUCGUCUCAAACUGUAUGAUUUAUCCCCUUGCUACAAAUUUCUCGGGGAUAUUCGAGUACUAUCAAUCUACAACAGCUCUUAUUCUUUCAACCAUCCACAUAUAAUAAAUAUCGGUAACCAUGUUAGAUGUCAAAGAAUUACACCGAUUAACUCCAAUUUCUAGGCAAUGGGACGCUUCAUUCUGAAAACUCGCGACUGGGUUGGCGUCCACCAUGUCAUACAGGUAACACAUCUUUACUUCUACACGCUAGAGCUAAUAAUGUGAGAUGGUAUUUACCAUACAUCACGGAGGUACCUGCCUUCCAUCUGUAGGCUCUUUACAUAGCUCUCGGUUUUGGAGUUAUCCAAAGAUCCCUGAAACAAAAUGUCAAUGAAGUGUUGAGAAAAUCAUGAGUGUGACUUUUCUUCACAGCCCCUCUGACUUAUAAAGAUCUCAAAACAGUAACCGCGGUUUGGGAACAAAUGUCUUUUAUUUACCUGCUCUUGAACUAUUGUGUGAAGAACUCUGUGUACGUCUCGCGCCAUGCCCUUAGCGUCACCACAAACAUAUACAUAACCACCCUGAGAGAUGAUGUUCCAGAUCUCUGUGGCCUGUAAACAAGAGAGCAAAAUCUAGUUGAGUACAACUAUAUCAUGGAGAUGCAUGUACUCCCUCUGUCCCAUAUUAAGUGACUUUCUAUUACAUGUAUGUAGACGUUUUUUAGGCAUAAAUAAAUCCAUAUUUGGCCAAAUUUGAGUCACUUAAUAUGGGACGGAGGGAGUAUAUAACUGGUGAAGAACAACAGUGUAGCAAAAAUGCCAAGCUUAUAUGCAACCUUCUCCACCAUCUUAUGCUGCACAUAUUCUUUGGUUGGUCCUUCACGAGAGUAGGCGACAACUAGCUCAGAAAGCGCCCCCUCCUGAAGGAAAUUUUGCAACUCAUCUUCAUAUAUGUAGUCCUGCAAAAUGGCCAUUCAGAAAAUAAGAUCAGUAAUAAAUUAGCAACACACCAUUUGUUUCAUUGACUAGAUUUUGAUCUGUACCAUAUUACGGUUCCUGCAUCCAAAGAAGAGGAUUGAAGUACCCAAUCCAACUCCAGAUUCUUUUAGAGCUAACCUUUCCUGAUUAAGCGGGAAAAUGAAGUUACUAGGGCCAUAUCAAAUCCCAAGUGAGGAAAAUACAAGCUCCUUGGUAAAACAAACCUGCAAGAAGCCCCUAAAAGGUGCUAGCCCAGUCCCAGGACCAAUCAUGAUAACCGGAGUGGAUGGAUCUGCAGGUAACUUAAAAUUUGACUGCCUCACAAAAAUUGGUGCCCAGCUGCAUUCUUCGCUAUAUUCCAAUGGAAGUGUGUUCUGCGAAGGACACAUUCAAGGAUAAAUAAAUCGACUACAAGAAACUCUCUUGUCACAGGAAAUUCGAUGACUUCAUACAGGAAGAAAUUUGAAAUAUGUAAAAGAAACAUACCUUCAUCCAUGUUGAGCAAACUCCUUGGUGAAUCCUUUCCGUUGGUGUAGGUCCAUAAACUAAUGCACACGUCACAUGAAUUCUGGAGGGAGCCAUCCUGUAGAGGUACUCAAGCUGUCAGAGAUCCCGAUCUCAAAAGCACAAUAUAGUAUCAUUGAGAUAAGCCACAUGGUCCCAUACGACCACAACCAAAAGGAGGUCUGUGUUAGCUUAUACAGUUUCCCUAAAAAAAUGACCUAUGAUGUGACAAAGCAGCGAUGUUGAAUGAGAAGAAUUUAUGCAUUGUGAAGAAUUUUACCCAACAAUAGAGCUUUAAACAUACUUUUUUACAUGGGCAGUAAAUAGAAGAAUAAUUAAGUAAAUAACAUACUUUGGAGACGAUGAUAUGGAGUAGUAUCGGGGUUGUAGCCGAGGAGCUACUGCUGCAAAGAACACUCCCAAGGGAGGCUUAGCAGAUGGAAAUGCAGCCAUGACUUCAAGAAGGCUCCUCUGGCUAGCUACUAUCCACUGAGAAUACUCAUCCUGCAUACAAAAGUUAACAUUCAGUGAUGAAGGUCUACCAGCUAAACAAACUACAACGUAAGCUCUUAAACAUCAUACCUUUCCAGCAGGAGAGGCCAAAAAUCUCAGUCGUUCAGCUUCAGUCGGGUCAGAAGCAUGAGAAGCUAAAGCAACCAGGGCAGCCUGGAUGAACAUGUCAUUCAAGGAUUGAUCAACUUCUCAAAACAAACUAUAGCAAUUUAAAGAAAAACAGUUAGCUAGUCAUGAGUACCUUCUUCGGUGAAUUGAGUAGAUCAGCGUAACGUAAAAGUGCAGUUCGUAAGGUGCACGGAGAUGGGAAGGGUGGGGCCAAGGAACCCCCUUUACGAGGAGAUCCAUCUUCUGCAUCUGCAUGUAUGGAGAAAACUGUGUCUGGGGAAAGACCAAGAAGCCUUUCAGCCUGCUCCACGGUAUCGACGGAAUUUUCUGAAUACACACCAACAUGAUCUCCAGUUUCAUAUCUGAAACAACGUUUUAAAGCAUAUAAGUUGCUAUGUACUUGCGUUUGUUUAGCUUGCACAAAAAGGUUUAAAACUACGAGGAGAAACCAAUGCAACAGUUGAAACCCGGAAAACAAAACAUUAGGUAACAAAUGGCCCACAAGAUGCUUCCUGAAUAGUCUGGAAUAAAACUACUACCUCCAUUCCUAAAGAUAAGAUGUUCUAGCUUUGUCCUAACUCCUAAGUAAAAAAAUUAAAAGUUCGACCAAGUUUAUAGAAAAAUAAACUAAUAUCCACAAUAUCAGAUAAGCAUAUUUUGAAUAUAUUAGAUAUAUAUCAUGAUGGAUGUAAUGAAACUAAUUUGGAGUUCUAGAUGUUGGUAGGUUUUUCUAUGAACUUGGUCAAACUUUAGGUCAUAGCCAGAACAUCUUAUAUUUAGGAACAUAGGGGGUACAUACCAUGAAGAAAAGCGAGAAACUUAACAAAAUAUGGGUAAAAUUCUAGGCAACGGAUAUCAAGAAACUUACACAAGACCAGUGCCUGAAAUAUCAAAUUCCAGAUGAAUACAGGAGCGGUCAGAAGCUGGUUUAUGUAGUUCCUUUCGAACAGCAACAUUAGACCUUGACAAUCCACAACACGGUUAGCAAUAUUGUAAUUUGUAAAUACUCAACUGUAACUGAAUAGAAGGUGCCGAUAAAUAUUUGGACAUGCAAAUACCUGCAAGGGUGAUGGAUAUCAAUAACGCCGUUACCAUUGGCAAGAGUCCAGGAUUUAUCUUCAACCACUAAAUCUGAUUUAUCGAUAAAUACAACUCUGUAUUCAGGUAUAGCAGCAGUGUACGGAGUUGAUGCACCAGUAGUAUCAUCGUCAUCGCGAAGCAGUUGGUCAAGUUCUGGCCAUACUUGUUCUUUCCUGCAGAUAUUAAGAAAAAGAACAAUUCCCGUUCAAGCUACUGCAGCACAACUAUAUAACAGCAAAAUGACAUAAGCAUCCCAGAAAAUUCAUAAAAAUAUUAGGCGAACAAAUGUCUCAGACAACCACUUGAUUCGGUAUGCCAAAUGAUAUGUGACUUAGAAGUUAUAGUUCUAUUUAUAACCAUAGGUCCAUAAGAACCAUAACCCAUCCAAGCUGUCUAAACUGUCACAUGUAACGGAAUAACUGAAUAAUAGUAUGUAUUUUCUUCCUAAAUGUCUGAAAUUAUAUAUAAUCCCAACUUAGGAAGGCGAAUGCCAUCACAUUACCGGUUUGAAAACAAAGUUAAAGGCUGCAACAUCUAAAAGUAGCUAAGCAAACAAAUAGUAACAGCUUUCUUACAAUCUAUCUGGUUCUAGAAAUACAAAUAUCAAAGUUUCUUCUCAUCCACUUUUGCAUAUCAUGAGUUUGUUGGUGUGUGCCAUUCCCAGAUCCAGAUUGACCAAAAAUCAGUCCCAGUUUCGGAUACAGCCAAAAACAGAAGAUUUAUUCAUGCCAAGACUCAGACCAAUCAAAGCAAACACUUCACACCCAAGCCUGUAUCUUGUGGAUACAUAAACAAGUCAAAUAGAUAUUACCAAAAUACAGAACAAUCAAGCAAAGAUUUGGCACCCAAGUCUGGACCUUGGCAUCUUGCUGACAGAAAGCGAAGCUAAAUACUAGCUAGUCCACUCUUGUCCCUAUGCAGAAGAUAUGUACCAAACAAAGAGAAUGCAUAACAUAUUAUAUUGUCUGUCCUUUUCAUACCAAGCGGUGAAGUCAUCCUCAAUGCAUUGAUCAUCAUCACCAAGGCCACAAGGAACAAGACGCUUGCCACCUAGAUACCAAAAAAAAAAUCAACAGAAUGAUGCCUACAGGAUCAAAUCACAUACGCAUCAAACAAAUAGAAUAUAUGCAGAAAAUAAUCACCGACUAUAUCAUGCAACGGGCUCAACAAAACACUAGGUGAAAAACUAACAUAGCAGUAUAUAAUGAAAAAAAAUAGAAUACGUGUGCAUAGACAUACCAUAUGCCAAAACUUGCUAGUGAGAAUUAGAGAAAUACUAUAAGUUCGAUGACAACUGUUAGGAAUCGCGAAUUGUUCAAUACUGUUGCCAAGAUCACUAAAGUUGGAAAAUAGCAACUGAUGUGUCGAUGACAUGUGGCCUCAUGCCCCACAUAUGCUCCUUGCAUACAAUGGUGUUCUCCAAUGAAUUUUUCAAAAUGAACCAUGUAUGGUAUUUUUUAGACAAUAAUUAGGAUAUCAAGGUGGAGUUAAUUAGCACAUGUUUCCUAUUCUGCUCCUAUUCAAUACAAAAACGACGAGAGUCACUUUUCAGAGCAGUAAAAUCAUCAGGUUCAGGUUGUGGAAGCUUUUAUCUCCAAUCAUAAUACAGGGAUCAAUUCCACCAUCCUGCAUGUUUUCUCCUAGAAAAAAGCCUAGCGAUGAGCCUCCAAUUCUUUUGUCGGUUUCUUGUUGCUGCAAUGAUGCUUGUACCAUUGCUCCUAUUUUUGCAUGAUGUGACAAGAGUGUUGCAAGAUGCUGUUCUGGACUUCUGAUUCCUACGAGUUAUUGAGUACUACUGAAUUGAUGAUUCAUGAAAUUUCCUUUGCUCAUGUACUGCAGAAUCUUUCAAGAGAAUGUUCCAGUCUUAUCUUUUGAUUCGUACAAGCUAAUUUAUUUUGCUCAUGUUCUGCAUAAUUUUCCAGCGAUGUUCAUGCUCACUUAUGCUUGUGUCUUACUACAUUGGUGUAGUCCAGUUUACCGAUUUAAGCCCUAAAUAUAGUUUCUGGUCAAAACAAAUCUGCAAGAUGACAAUCGUCCACCAACAGAAACUGUUAUGUUGGGAAAUGUGUUCCCGUCUUACCGCAACAAAUUGUUCAAAAACAACAAUGCACCUACAGUACACCCUAUUUUUCCAAAUACUCGACAUCUUUUUACCAAAGGUCUUCCCCAAAUACUUGGUACUUUACACGUCCUAAUGCAUCCUUUUCCAUUUUAACAUUGCCAUGUUGUCCACCUUGUUGUUUGAGCAACUUACUGAGAGGGGCAUUUUUUUUAAUUAAAAAACUUCGACAAUGAUCACUGAAUUAUGUGUGUUGGCAAGAAAAUGCCAACUAUUUGAAACAGGGGUGUGUCUUCUCAAAAUUUCUUGGAAAAUAUCAUAAAUUGAAGGCUUACCCUGCUCCUCCAGCAGCUCGUCCACCACCUUUGCAACCUAUAUUUUACAUACAGAUAAACUAAACAUCAAGAUACAGCACUAAUCAACCUUUGUAUCAGCGACAUCUCAUUUUCAAUGAAGCAAACCUUAUUAAAAUGCUCAUAUUGCCUGUUCCCAAGACCAAAUACAGCAUACUUAAAAUCCUUCAGCCAAACUUCCUUCUCCUUCCCCUGCUUAGGUAAAAACAUAAGCUGACUAAAAUUAGCCUCAUAUUCCUCUGCUUAGGUACAAACUAGUGAGCAAAUGUCAACGAAACAAAUUUUACAAACCUCGGUGAACCAUUUGUAGAAUCUUGCUGCAUUAUCAGUGGGCUCCCCAUCCCCAUAGCUGUGGUUAUCAAACAUAAUUAGCCAUGGAAGUUGAUAACAUAAGCUGACUAAAAUAGCUGAUUAUGGAUAAUUCGUACAAAAAAAUGUUUUGCUCAAGUCUGUUACAUCUUUUCACAGAAAACAGCAACCAGAUUGCCAGCAACAUAUUGUUCACUAGACUAUACAUGAUAACAAAUGAAGCUGAUUCUCCCUGAAAAAAUGCCACAGCCAAUUCCAACUCAGAUAGCAAUGAAUGCCUUCAUUGAGUUAUCGCAUCAUUCCCAAUUGCAAUGAUCACUCGUGAGUUAACAGCAGAGACACACAUUGUGCUAGACUUAUAGUGUCUUACGUGUCUUGGUGCUGGCACACAGUUCACUCGCGCGUUACGACAAAAAAAAGAGGGUAGGAGCAUUACGGAAUCAAGCGCAAUCGACAAAACAGGCAAUUCAGCAAUCUACCAAUCAAAACAGCGAGAGCUCACGUUGCUAAGAAGAACAGCACGAGUGUUUCCUUCUUCAGUUUCUCCUCGUACUCGUCGUCCUCCGCAGCAUAGUCAUCCUACACACGUUCCAAGCUCCAAUCAAAUUCCCAACGACAAGCAGGUAGCAAGCAGUUGAACGAACAAACAAGCACAUGCAGAUCAUCGCCAAUUACCAGAUCCACCACUUUGAACACCGUCUUCUCAUACCGGACCUUGGCCUCCUCGGCCAUAGCCUACACCAAUCAAAUCCCAACAGAAUCGAAUCGAAUCAGACAAAGGCAACUCUAGUUAAGAAAAGCACGGGAGCUUUCGGAUCGGGGGACCGGAUCGGAUCGGACAGCGACCUUGGCGAAGCCCUCGGCGGUGCCGGUCUGCGUGCCGAAGAAGAUGGUGACGCGCUUGCGGCCGUCGUCGGCGUCGGCGUCGGCGUCGACCUUGACCGGCGGCGGGCGGAGAGGCGUGGCGGCCGGCUUGGACGGCGCGCCGCCGCCGGAUCGGAACCACACGGCCAGGACGAGCAGCCCGGCCACGAGGGCGGCGGCCGUGGCCGCGAGCGCGACGAGCGGGUCGCCCCCCGCGGCGGCGGCGAGCUCCGGCGGGAGCACGGACGCCGCCCACGACCUCGCCGCCUCCAGCGCCAUCCUCUCUAGCUAGCUACCCCCUUCCGGCGGAGGGACUGGCCCGGGGAGGGCAGAGAUGGGGGGAGGGCAAGCCGAGGCGAGGCGCUCGUGGGGCGCACCUACCACCAACUGCUGAACUGCUUGGCUGCUGUGGAGAAGAGAAGGAGAAGGAGACGCAAAGGGGUUGGGGGUUAAGUUCCCCCCGGUUUGUUUACCUUUCUUUACUCGGGAUUUUCUUCCCUUUUCCGGGACGACGAGCUAGAGGCGUGUGUGAUCUGUUUUUUUUACUACCCUUGUUUACUUUUUGCUUAGAUUUAGAAAGUUAAAAGGCUGUUUUCUCGAUCUGGGAACGGAAGCCAGCCGUGUCUGAACUUGGGAUCUCCAGUCCAGCAUCCGCUCUGCUGUCCGGGGCCCGCCCGGGUGCUGUAAAAAACGGCCAUGGAAAAAGCAACAGCAGAUUUGGAACUUUUCGUUACUAUAUAUCGUCACACAUAAAAAGGUUUGCAUCUGCAAGGCGAUAUGCGUUAUUUUUCCUUUUUUGCAUUUCAACGGGAGUAUUAUGCCGAGAGUGCUUCAGGGAAAGGAGCAAAAUGUGGUGCCAGGGGAGAGAGUGGCUAGGACGAUGGCGAACGUUGUCGGGCAACCGAUGACUGGAAGAGUGGUAGAGGCUAUUGAAGCGUGUCGUUGGUGCUUGUCUAAAAGCCGGCCGAAGUGUUAGCUGCAUGCAGUAUGCGCGCGUCGCCGUCAAGGGGCGUUGAGUCUUUUCUUUUUCUGAAACACUGGAAUAUUAGCGUCACUGACGGUUCUUUGUACCGUGUAGCAUCUUGAGAGAAGAGCAGCAGCUAUGGACUUCAUCAGUAUCCGGAUACCAAUUUCUCAUAAAACGUAUGCUAUGGCGUCUACUCAUGGGGGCGGUAUGGCUAAUGUCACUUUUUCAUCGACGUGCCUGUUAUGAUCUCGUGGGAGCGCGGUGUGGCUAAUGUCAGCAGUGGUACAACAGCUGCUUUGGAGGAAGAUUGGUGGAUGAUUGUGUCACAGGAAAGACAUGGAACUCCAUGCAUCGUUGUCUUCUGGUGGUGCCUUGGUGGAUUUAAUGUGCCAUUCUAGACAGAAACGAUCAAACGAGUACAUACACACACACACACAUAUUUAUUGCAAUCGCAAGCCGGAUUAUUUGUUGAGGCUCUGCCUUGAUUAGAGAGACGGUCGAGCAACAGAGCUCGUGUCAAGCCGGAUGUGGCUUUCGAAUCAGCGCGCACGUACAUAUAAGAACUCUCAACCAAGUUAAUCAUGAGAAUUCUGAACCGCUAACUUGCCCGCGGUUAAUUUUCUGGUCGUGCAAGCAGACGACGGCCGGUUUUGACCCGAGAGUUAGGAGAGACGUACAUGCCUGCAAAAUUAUGUGUAGGGAGGAAAUGUGUAAAGCACGCUCGCCCAGUAGUAAUGCCGUCUAAAACUUAUCUGAAAUCGCAUCCGUUUCUGUUUCAGAAAGUUUUUUUUGUUGUUGAGAAAUUCUGUUUCAGAAAGUUUGACGUGCAGAGUCCAGACUUCUUUCGCUUCCCGUCCAACAAGUAGAUCCAACAUCCACCAACUCCUGCUGGGCCGUGAACCUCUGCACUUUGCAGACGCGCACACACAAGGCCCGUUACCAAAACCAGAAGGAAAGGGUCCAACGGAGCAGCGGAAAGCCUUUGCUCAAUUGCCGCACCGAAAUUAUUCUCAAAAAAAAAUAAUUGCCGCACCGAAAUCGGCAAGCAGGAUGACUUCAUCACCUGCCCCCGGAAUUGACUCCGCGAUUUUUUGGACGUGGUUUAGAUAGAUGUCUCGGUUUUCAUCGGCGAUGCUUUCAUGCUUCGGUCGUGUUCGUGGCCAGAUGCGGCCGUCCAGCCCUUUGUCUUUUCUUCCUGUGGCGUCAUGAGCCAUGACUGGUUCCCCAGCCUUGCGGCUCGUGGAGUACGUACGCGCGCGCGGGUGCUUCAUUUUCUUCGCCGGCGCCGGCUAAGCUGCUAGCUAGCGCGUGGUUCUAGCUAGGCCGGCCGGGCUCCAUGGGUCGUACGUACUACAGUACGUAUGUACGUACUACAAUACUGGUAUUGACUUCACAGCUAGCUACUGUGUACACCUUGCUGGCCCUGUUCUGUUCCGUGCAUGAAUCCAUCCUGCGACGUGUCGAACUGUCGGUGCAUGCCUGAUCAAAAAACCAAAAAAAUCUGAAGAAAUCAUAGAGUUAUCUUAGGAAUAACAUUCUGAGAUCCCUUGCAGGAGCUCCGCGCUGCGUGGUCAAAUUUAAUUUGUUGAUGCCUGCCCGAGUGGGGCGCUAUCUUCCUCUUCCCUCCCUCCCGUCUCUCCCUAGUCUCUUCCUUCCUCUCCAAGCAAGUGAAGCGGCUGCGCCGGGACCGACGGCGAUGAGACAGGCCAUAAAGGUGGGCCAAGGGCGAGGAGAUCGAGCUGGAGCAACGGUGACGUAGCGGGCAACGACGGGGCAAGAAGGUUACAAGAUCCAGCGAGGUAAUAAGCCCGGACGACCCAACUAUGGGUCAAAAAGAGUGGCCGGCGCGAAAGUGAUGGUUGGUUCCCGACCUUAGAGGGAUGGCCGAUGUUAAAUUAUAGGAAACGUGUGUAUUUCCAAGUCGAUGAUCAUGGUUGAUUCUUUAUCCAACGAAAAUCAGGUACAUAUUGCACAUAAAUUAAAAUGGAUGCAACUUUGGUCCACUUCUUCGAGAUAGGUACAUCAAUUUAUGAUAAAUCGUUCUCAAAAUCUAAAAUACUUGUGCAAGGUCCGAGUGACCAAUAAAGUAAGGGUAUAGCUAUAUCUCAAUCACCUGAUAUUUAAGCAAAAGGUUUAAAUCUUAGUUGGCGUAUCAAAACCGUUGAAUUAAGAUCUAAAUAUCAUCUUCACUUCCUCAUCUUUCACAUGUCGUUGUUGGAUUAAGAUUCAAAAGUCAAGAACUUCAACUCAUCUAUAACUAAAAAACAUGUAACUUCUCAGUAGCAAACCGGCCGAUAUAAAAUAAAAGGAGGAUGUAUAUCUAUAUCUAUACCUAUCUAAAAAAUACGGACUGUUCCCUUCACCGUCGUCUGUCAAACUUUCCAUAAAAUUUGUGGGACCCUUAGGGUUGCAUGUAUAUUAGGCCUAAUAAGCCGGCUGGCCCAUUACCUGCACCAAAUUGGACUGGAACUCCACCAGAUCGGUCCAGAUUCAAUCAAUCACGAAUACAACACAACUUCAAACUUAACGUAUCAAUCACCAUCGGUCCAAUACAACCUCCCGUAACUAAGCAUGUAUCAAUAUCGGUAUGGAAUAUGGAUCGUAUGAAAAAAAGUCAUAAAGCAAUCUCAGGAAAAUCAAUCCAAUCCGAGCCAGAAAAACUGAUCCAUCCCUCUCUCCCAGCGAAGCUCCACGCCAUGGCCCAUGGAUCGUUACAAUAGUCGGGAUAGGAUCGAUCAAUGUACUUGCUCGUAAAUUAUGCCUACGGCCUACAAGCGUCUCUAAAAAAAUUACUACUCCCUCCGAUCAAUAUUAAUUGUGUCAAAUUUGCCCAAAUAUGGAUGUAUUUAUGCCUUAAAAGGGAGUAUGUCUACGGGUGGACAGAAACUACAAGUCCGAAUGCAUGGCACAAGCCGCUGCACAACGCAAUCACCCACGAAGAUGCAAAUCGGCACAGGCACAAUGACAGUUCGACUGUCGACAGAUCGGCCUAUACGAGGGAUUCUACACUAGACUCUAGACAUCGCUGACGCCUUGAAGCCAAAAUUUAUUUAGGUGGAUCUAUUUGUAAGCUAGCCUUUUGUGAUAGGUUUAAUUAGCUCUAAUUGCUGGUUAAAGUUUUGAGAUUGUCAUGUCGACUAAGAAAUACGUAUCCGAGAAAAGAAAAAA
rnacentral:lncRNA from 1 species